rnacentral:rRNA from 1 species
UGCCCACUGAUUUUAAAUUAAAGGGCUGCAGUAUUUUGACUGUACAAAGGUAGCAUAAUCAUUAGUCAUUUAAUUGAUGACUUGUAUGAAAGAUUGGAUGAGAUAUUAUCUGUCUUAAUAAUAAAUUGUAGAAUUUAAUUUUUUAGUUAAAAAGCUAAAAUAAUUUAAAAAGACGAGAAGACCCUAUAGAGUUUAAUUAAAUUAUAAAAUUUAUUAAUUUAUAUAAAUUUAUGUUAGGAAUUUUAUUUUUAAUUUUAUUGGGGUGAUAGAAAAAUUAAAUUAACUUUUUUUAAAAUAUUAACAUAUAUAAGUGAAUAUUUGAUCCAAUUUUAUUGAUUAAAAGAAAAAAUUACCUUAGGGAUAACAGCGUAAUUUUUUUUUUUAGUUCAUAUAAAAAAAAAAGUUUGCGACCUCGAUGUUGGAUUAAGAUAAAAUUUAAAUGUAGAAGUUUAAAGUUUUGA